rnacentral:rRNA from 1 species
UACGUAGGGUGCAAGCGUUGUCCGGAAUUAUUGGGCGUAAAGAGCUCGUAGGCGGUCUGUCGCGUCGGCUGUGAAAUCCCGAGGCUCAACCUCGGGUCUGCAGUCGAUACGGGCAAACUUGAGUGUUGCAGGGGAGACUGGAAUUCCUGGUGUAGCGGUGAAAUGCGCAGAUAUCAGGAGGAACACCGGUGGCGAAGGCGGGUCGCUGGGCAACAACUGACGCUGAGGAGCGAAAGCGUGGGGAGCGAACAGG